GUCAAGAAUAUUCCACAAUGGGGGAAACCCUGAUGGAGCGACACCGCGUGGGGGAUGAAGGCCUUCGGGUCGUAAACCCCUUUUGCACGGGACGAAGUUAUUGACGGUACCGUGAGAAUAAGAGGUUGCUAACUCUGUGCCAGCAGCAGCGGUAAUACAGAGACCUCAAGCGUUAUCCGGAUUUACUGGGCGUAAAGCGUCCGCAGGUGGUUCGAUAAGUCAACUGUCAAAUCCUGGUGCUCAACAUCAGGGCUGCGGGUGAUACUGUCGAACUUGAGGCUGGGAGAGGGAAGAGGAACUGCCGGUGUAGUAGUAAAAUGCGUUAAUAUCGGCAGGAACACCAAAGGCGAAGGCAUCUUCCUGGAACAGUCCUGACACUCAGGGACGAAAGCGUGGGGAGCAAAACGGAUUAGAUACCCCAGUAGUCC
rnacentral:rRNA from 1 species